AGAUUGAGUAUUGUCGGAUUUUAAAUGUUAAGAAUUCCCAUUUCUGUGUAUAUGAUGACAAAGAUUUAUCUUUUAGAAUAUCAUGUAUGAGAGUUUUGACAUCAUCACAGAAAUGAUCAUAUUUUAAUAAGCCAGAGUUAAACUUCCAGUCUCCCUUUCUUCUAGAGGGCUGUGAAAGAGGAGCCACGUGAAGUCCCACACAGUAGUGGUCAGUCAGGGGGGGUGGCAUUAUUUUACAGUUUAAAAUCUGGUUAAGUUAGACCUCAUUAAUUAAGCAGAAAUCUAAUCUCGACCUGGCUGUACCAUCUGCUCUGAACCAUGAAUAUUGUUUUGCCACGCACCGCACGCGGCCAGUGUGUGAGUACUGCACACACGGUUAUGUGGAUAACAUCAGCUUGGAAAGAAAUCACCCGGAGAUUAUCAGAAAUGAUCAGAAAAUCCUUCAAGAUCUGUGGAAUCACCAAUGCAUGCGAUGGAUCUGAGGAUGAUCUGAUCCACAGCCAUGUCAUGCUGGGAGAGCUGCUUCAAACUGCGCGGCAGACAGCGGGAGCUUCUGUGCUGCCGGUACAAGAGGCGGAAGACGAGGAUGAACUGGAGAAUAACGAAGCAAUCAUCUCCCACUCAGACAGUGAUGGGGAUUUGUAGGGCUGAUUUACGCUUUUGUGGAGGAGUCGGGCUGGUCCCGGUCAGCGUCUGGUAUUAUGUGAAUCUGUUGGACGAAUGAACGCUUUUGUGGGAGAGAUGGACAGGAGCAGACCAGCGUUUAUGACAUCUUUGGAGGAGAAAUGGUUCCUGUCAUAUUACCCGUUCCUUGAUGCUAAUGGUAGCCUAUUACC